UAUAUUUGGGGAACUUCAUACUGUGGCCUCACUGGAUACCGCCUAAGUCCCAUAUGCAACCUGAAGCAGAUACUUAGCCAGUUAACACCUGUGGAUUUUUUCAAUCUCAGGAAAGAGGCAGGGGUGUGACUCUUCUCCAGCUAAAGAACUGUUCUUUGGUGUAAAGGAUAGAAUUUCCUGAGGACCCCUGCUGUGUGGGCUGGCUGAAAUAGGUGGCAGUGAGGUUCCUGUAGAAAUAUGUAGAUAGUUGUUCACUUUGAAUUAAGAAAAAAAGACGCAAACUAUUCAUUUGGAUUCAAGGUCCAUCUCCAGUGGUGGCUGUAGUGGCCUUGUAGUGGCAGAUCAUCACCUUCAACAGGUCUGCACUCAGGAACUAUCAUCUUCGCUCAGACUAAGUGCCUCUGUCUUUUCUCUGUAUUGUUGACAGAGGUUCUGUGUUUGGAAAGGGGACUGUGUGACUGCUGAGCUGAUGACUGACUCUUGCCACAAAGUUUAUGUCUGAUCCAGUGAAAGAGUGUUAAGACAUUGACCUGGGACACAUUGAAAACCAAGGCCAAGACUGUAUAGAGCUAUC
rnacentral:lncRNA from 1 species